AAAGCUCACCGAGUAUGGUUUGAUCGAGUUCGAACUCGGUUCGUUAAGGUAUUGUCUAGGUUCAUUGCUCAUAGAUAUUUUUCUUAGGUAUCUAUGACGGUGUGGUCUUGUAUACAAGGGAAGUUCAAUUGGGUGGUAGAUCCCGUCCAAGACUAAAUAUUGACGAGAGACCAAUAGCGAACAAGUACCUCGAAGGAAAGAUGAAAAGAGAGUCAAAUAUAGUGUUUGAAAUUGUCGAGAGGGUAGCGAAUGGGGGCCGGCGGUGUACUUUGGUUGGAUGCGGAACGGUGUGAGCCGGUCCGCCACUUGACUUGAGGUAUAGUCCGUUGCGGGUUGUGCUGUUGUUAAAAGCAUGUGUACUUGUUGCACAUGAGAUGUUAGUGGCCCGACUUUUAAAUGAGUGUGUGUUUUAUGCGUAUUUUAUAGCAUAUGUAUGCCUCUAGCAGCGGCCUGUGGGUUCCCUAUUCGACCCGUCUUGAAACACAG
rnacentral:ncRNA from 1 species